ACGCAAGUGCGAUAAGGGGACUCCGAGUGCGAGGGCAUAUAGUCCUCGCUUUUGAGAACCGUAAGGCGGUUCUCGAAUAAGAGCUGGGCAAGACCGGUGCCAGCCGCCGCGGUAAUACCGGCAGCUCAAGUGAUGGCCAAUCUUAUUGGGCCUAAAGCGUCCGUAGCUGGCCACGAAAGUCCGUCGGGAAAUCCAUCUGCCCAACAGAUGGGCGUCCGGCGGAAACUUCGUGGCUUGGGACCGGAAGGCUCGAGGGGUACGUCCGGGGUAGGAGUGAAAUCCCGUAAUCCUGGACGGACCGCCGAUGGCGAAAGCACCUCGAGAAGACGGAUCCGACAGUGAGGGACGAAAGCUAGGGUCUCGAACCGGAUUAGAUACCCGGGUAGUCCUAGCCGUAAACAAUGUUCAACUAGGUGUGGCACAGGCUACGAGCCUGUGCUGUGCCGUAGGGAAGCCGAGAAGUGAACCGCCUGG
rnacentral:rRNA from 1 species